rnacentral:lncRNA from 1 species
AUGAAUCGGGGCCGUUCUGCAAAGGAUUAUGUCUUUUGGUGCCUGCCUGUUUUAGAAAGGUGGGUCCUGUCUGCUGGAAAGAUGAUGUCUCUCUUCUGGAUCUGUUGUCUCGCGCCGCUGGCCUCUGUGCUGGGCCACACGCAGGCAAACUAUGCGGGUAGGUUUCCUGGACUCUGGCAUCCGAAAACCGCUUUCUCGGUGCAGCUGAUGAAGGAGAUGUCAGACAGGUUGCACAACGAAGCUAAAGUUAAAGCUAUCGAAUCGUGGGGAUUCUUGGACAACCACUACAACACCACGUUCAUGCCGCUCAAGGGGGAGGCCACGCACGUCGUGAUACAGACGGUAGCCGGGAAAAUGUUUAAUAUCACUACCAUAGUGGUAGAAGUCAGCUGCCCAGAGGAGCAGGAGCCCGGAAAUUACACAGGUUGCGAACCCUUGCCGGGGAGCCAGCCAAAGGUGUGCAACGUGGUGAUUCUGCUUAUCCCGGGAAACGAGAAGCCUUUCUUCUACCACGAUCCCUGCCAAGAUUUCAGCAGCUAUCUGCAGCGNAAUGCCGAGGUCCAGCGCGAACACCAACGUCUCCUGGAGCGCCUGUACCAACGUCAGCGCGAACGUGAACGUCAACACGGACACGGACACGAGGGCGAAGCCGAAGUAGAAGAGGAGGGGACGCCCUACAUGUGAGGGCAGGCCGGAGACGCCGGCUCCCCGUCCCUUUUCCCUUUCCCCCCAGCUCAUUCCUACCUGCCACACCUCUGCCUGACAUGUUCGCAGCUCCGUGGCGUUUCCCGCAUGGGGUCCAGGUGGCUGAUGGGUGCAGAGUGGCUCUGAGGGCCGGAGGCAGGCAAGGGAGUCCGGCUCAAAGUUCCCCUUAGCUGUGGAGGCACCCGAGGCUCACGGGGUUCCUGUGGAAACAGAACUGGCCCGAGGGGAACCCAACAGUCCUUCCCUUUUGCGGUGGGAAAGCAGUUUAGUGCAAGUCGAGUGGAUUCUUUUGGUCACACCUGCUUUGAAAAUCCACGACAGGCCGAGCGCUCCACAUACCUCCACCGAACUCCCUUCGGUUCUCCCUGUUUGCCUCCGUUUGCCUCUGAUCCGUAGGGCUGCGCNCGUCCACACUUGUGUGCUCAAACCGGUUUCUCUGCCCAGAACAGCCGCCCUAGGGAACCAGGCCAAACUCCCCGUAUCCCAGCUCUUGGGGCUGCAGGGAUACCACCUGCNCACUGUCUCCGCAGUCUGCCAGGGAGCGCCGGGUUGGGGUUCCUGGUUCCUCACUUGGCAGCGGCGCCUGUCCUUGUGCCUUUUCACCAGUGGAAACAAGAGUUGCCCCCCACCCCCAAAGCCCCCCUCCUUUUCCUCAUUUCCCAGCUGCAAUUUAGGGUAGAAUAAAACCAGCGCAACUUGCA